rnacentral:rRNA from 1 species
AUUGAACGCUGGCGGCAGGCUUAACACAUGCAAGUCGAGCGGUAGCACGGGGGAGCUUGCUCCCUGGCUGACGAGCCGCGGACGGGUGAGUAAUGUCUGGGAAACUGCCUGAUGGCGGGGGUUAACUACUGGAAACGGUAGCUAAUACCGCAUAUCUUCGCAAGCCCAAAGAGCGGUAGCUUCGGGCCUCUUGCCUUUAGAUUUUCCCAGAUGGGAUUAGCUAGUAGGUGGGGUAAUGGCUCACCUAGGCGACGAUCCCUAGCUGGUCUGAGAGGAUGACCAGCCACACUGGAACUGAGACACGGUCCAGACUCCUACGGGAGGCAGCAGUGGGGAAUAUUGCACAAUGGGCGAAAGCCUGACGCAGCCAUGCCGCGUGAGUGAAGAAGGCCUUCGGGUUGUAAAGCACUUUCAGCGAGGAGGAAGGUGGUUGGCUUAAUACGUUCAUCAAUUGACGUUACUCGCAGAAGAAGCACCGGCUAACUCCGUG